ensembl:misc_RNA
GACUGAGUCAGAUGUAGCAAUAAUUCUUAAGAGUCGGAAGUCUCAAAACAGUGUAGAGAGAGCGGCAGAACAGAGAGAAAUGUCUGGAUGCCAGCAGCAGGUUUUAGCAGCGGUGAACAUCGGGUAGAAAAUCUGCGGUGUCUCCAGCCUCAGCACGCAAGCCAAAAGCGGCCAGCCUCUCCCCCGCACCCUGCUGAGCGUUUCG